GGACAGUAAGGAGAUCCAACCAGCCCAUCCUAAAGGAAAUCCACCCUGAAUAUUCACCGAAAGGACUGAUGCUGAAGCUGAAGCUCCAAAACUUUGGCCCCCUGAUGCGAGGAGCCGGCUCAUUGGAAGAGCCCGCGAUGCUGGGAAAGAUUGAAGGCAGGAGGAGAAGGGGACGACAGAGGAUGGGAUGGUCGGAUGCCAUCACUGGCUCAAUGGACAUGAAUUUGAGCAAACCCUGGGAGCCA